rnacentral:rRNA from 1 species
UCGGGAAUUUUGGGCAAUGGGCGAAAGCCUGACCCAGCAACGCCGCGUGAGGGAUGAAGUAUUUCGGUAUGUAAACCUCGAAAGAAUGGGAAGAAUAAAUGACGGUACCAUUUAUAAGCUCCGGCUAACUACGUGCCAGCAGCCGCGGUAAUACGUAGGGAGCAAGCGUUGUUCGGAUUUACUGGGCGUAAAGGGCGCGUAGGCGGCGCGGUAAGUCACUUGUGAAAUCUCUGAGCUUAACUCAGAACGGCCAAGUGAUACUGCUGUGCUAGAGUGCGGAAGAGGCAACCGGAAUUCUUGGUGUAGCGGUGAAAUGCGUAGAUAUCAAGAGGAACACCUGAGGCGAAGGCGGGUUGCUGGGCCGACACUGACGCUGAUGCGCGAAAGCCAGG